UACGGGAGGCAGCAGUGGGGAAUAUUGCACAAUGGGCGCAAGCCUGAUGCAGCCAUGCCGCGUGUAUGAAAAAGGCCUUCGGGUUGUAAAGUACUUUCAGUCGUGAGGAAGGUGUUAAGGUUAAUAACCUUAGCAAUUGACGUUAGCGACAGAAGAAGCACCGGCUAACUCCGUGCCAGCAGCCGCGGUAAUACGGAGGGUGCGAGCGUUAAUCGGAAUUACUGGGCGUAAAGGGCACGCAGGCGGUUAAUUAAGUUGGAUGUGAAGUCCCCGGGCUUAACCUGGGAAUGGCAUUCAAGACUGGUUAGCUAGAGUCUUGUAGAGGGGGGUAGAAUUCCAUGUGUAGCGGUGAAAUGCGUAGAGAUGUGGAGGAAUACCGGUGGCGAAGGCGGCCCCUGGACAAAGACUGACGCUCAUGUGCGAAAGCGUGGGGAGCGAAACAGGGAUUAGAUACC
rnacentral:rRNA from 1 species